rnacentral:rRNA from 1 species
CGGCAAGAGCUCAAAUUUGAAAGCUGGCUCCUUCGGGGUCCGCAUUGUAAUUUGUAGAGGAUGCUUCGGGAGCGGUCCCCAUCUAAGUGCCCUGGAACGGGACGUCAUAGAGGGUGAGAAUCCCGUAUGGGAUGGGGUGUCCGCGCCCGUGUGAAGCUCCUUCGACGAGUCGAGUUGUUUGGGAAUGCAGCUCUAAAUGGGUGGUAAAUUUCAUCUAAAGCUAAAUAUUGGCCGGAGACCGAUAGCGCACAAGUAGAGUGAUCGAAAGAUGAAAAGCACUUUGAAAAGAGAGUUAAAAAGCACGUGAAAUUGUUGAAAGGGAAGCGCUUGCGACCAGACUCGCUCGCGGGGUUCAGCCGGCAUUCGUGCCGGUGUAUUUCCCCGCGGGCGGGCCAGCGUCGGUUUGGGCGGUCGGUCAAAGGCCCUCGGAAGGUAACGCCCCUAGGGGCGUCUUAUAGCCGAGGGUGCAAUGCGACCUGCCUAGACCGAGGAACGCGCUUCG